rnacentral:rRNA from 1 species
UACGAAGGGGGCGAGCGUUGUUCGGAAUUACUGGGCGUAAAGGGCGCGUAGGCGGCCCCUUUUGUCGCGUGUGAAAGCCCCGGGCUCAACCUGGGAACGGCGCGCGAAACGGGGGGGCUUGAGUUCGGGAGAGGAGAGUGGAAUUCCCAGUGUAGCGGUGAAAUGCGUAGAUAUUGGGAGGAACACCAGUGGCGAAGGCGGCUCACUGGACCGGUACUGACGCUGAUGCGCGAAAGCGUGGGGAGCGAACAGG